rnacentral:rRNA from 1 species
ACACUCCUACGGGAGGCAGCAGUGGGGAAUUUUGGACAAUGGGCGAAAGCCUGAUCCAGCAAUGCCGCGUGUGUGAAGAAGGCCUUCGGGUUGUAAAGCACUUUUGUCCGGAAAGAAAUCCUUGGCUCUAAUACAGUCGGGGGAUGACGGUACCGGAAGAAUAAGCACCGGCUAACUACGUGCCAGCAGCCGCGGUAAUACGUAGGGUGCGAGCGUUAAUCGGAAUUACUGGGCGUAAAGCGUGCGCAGGCGGUUUGCUAAGACCGAUGUGAAAUCCCCGGGCUCAACCUGGGAACUGCAUUGGUGACUGGCAGGCUAGAGUAUGGCAGAGGGGGGUAGAAUUCCACGUGUAGCAGUGAAAUGCGUAGAGAUGUGGAGGAAUACCGAUGGCGAAGGCAGCCCCCUGGGCCAAUACUGACGCUCAUGCACGAAAGCGUGGGGAGCAAACAGGAUUAGAUACCCUGGUAGUCCC